UCUAUCAUCCUUACAGAUCCAACUGGAGUGCAAGAAGCUGGUCAGGAAAAUGGAGAGCUUCUACCAUUCCCACCAUAUUUUUAUCCCUGUCUGGAAAGUGUGUCCUAUUCCCAGAAGGGUUAGGUGAAAAGUGGAGUUAAAUAUCUGUGGGUAAUAAGGAACAUUUUCCUGGCCAGAGUCUGUACUGAUUUCGUUCUUUUUUUUUUUUUUUUUUGGAUGGGGGAGAUGAACCAGUAAGAUCUGGGUCAGAGACUGGGAUGUACAUAUGCUUCUCAAUUUUGUACCUGCAACAUGUAUCAGAGCUGCAUACUGCUGUGGUAUAGCUGUGAACAGAAGAGCCAGAAUAAAGGAAAACAGUGAGGGAGACCGACUGAGCCAACUUUCUGUCAGUCUUUCAUGCUGAUUAUAAGUCUCACACUGCGCAGUUACCCCUUGGAGUAUUUUACAAAAGAUUGAAAAUUCUGUUGAAAAGCAUUCUCCGUACCUGAGAAGACAAAGGAAACAGCCAUUGGACUCUUGGGGAGGGGUCCUGACUUAUAGAGAUGAGGAGCUGAGGCACAGAGACAUUAAAUGAUUUGGUCAAGGACACGCAGGGAGUCUGUGGUAUGGCCAGGAAAUCAAGUACAAUUCCCCUGAAUCCCAGCCCUGUGCCUUAACUGCAUGACCAUCCUCAGCACUGCCAACUCCAAAUGUUCCAAAAUCAUGAGACUGGCUUAAAAAUCAUAAGAUUAAAAUAAAAUAAAUGCAUUUUG